rnacentral:pre_miRNA from 1 species
UUGUCCUCUGGAGUUCCCUUGACCACUUCACUGGAGGUUUCUUUGGACCCUUGGCUGGGAAAUUAGGAUCCUCAUUCCACUGAAGUGUUUGGGGGAACUCUGGCGGCCAU